ACAUUUCACUCUUUAUUAAAUAUCCGAUUAUUAAUAAAUGCAAAAACAAUUCCCGUCACAUAUAUU
rnacentral:sRNA from 1 species